AGUAUAUACAUAUCAUAUUGUCACAUCCAAAAUAUAAAACACAUUUUUCUUUUAAGUAUAUUUUCACUUACCUAAAGUCUUUAAUAGUUUUUUAAUUAAUGUAGCAGUGUAAAAAAUAUAGAAAAAAAUAUAUAAACGCUUGUAAUGACAAGCUUUACAACUUUUAUGAAGACUUCGAAAUUCACCACUAUAAUCAUAUAAAUCAUAGAUCAAAAUUUAACUGUUGAUUAUUGUCUACAUUUACGCUUCAUUGUUCUCAUCAAAUUUUG
rnacentral:lncRNA from 1 species